AUUGAACGCUAGCGGGAUGCUUUACCCAUGCAAGUCGAACGAGUGGCGGACGGGUGAGUAAUAUAUCGGAAUGUGCCCUGUAGCGGGGGAUAACUACUCGCAAGAGUGGCUUAUACCGCGUACUAUUGGCGCGGCCGAUAUCGGAUUAGCUAGUUGGUGGGGUAAAGGCUCACCAGGGCAACGAUCCGUAGCUGGUUUGAGAGGACGACCAGCCACACUGGGACUGAGACACGGCCCAGACUCCUACGGGAGGCAGCAGUGGGGAAUUUUGGACAAUGGGGGAAACCCUGAUCCAGCCAUCCCGCGUGUAUGAGAAGGCCUUCGGGUUGUAAAGUACUUUUGGCAGAGAAGCGGUAUCUGCAGAAUAAGCACCGGCUAACUACGUGCCAGCAGCCGCGGUAAUAC
rnacentral:rRNA from 1 species